AUGCCUAACACAUGCAAGUCGAACGCCCCGCAAGGGGAGUGGCGCACGGGUGAGUAACGCGUGGGAACCUGCCCUGGAGUUUGGGAUAACCCGGCGAAAGCCGGGCUAAUACCGGAUACGCCCCGAGGGGGAAAGAUUUAUCGCUCUAGGAGGGGCCCGCGUCGGAUUAGCUAGUUGGUGAGGUAACGGCUCACCAAGGCGAUGAUCCGUAGCUGGUCUGAGAGGAUGAUCAGCCACACUGGGACUGAGACACGGCCCAG
rnacentral:rRNA from 1 species